rnacentral:lncRNA from 14 species
CUAAAGAGGUUUCAGUGGUUUCCAACUGGAAAUUGCUUGGAAAAUGAAGACAUGAUGACGUGAAUGUGUGUAACAGCAGGAGAAAUGUUGCAGUUCUCCAUAAUCUGUAAACCUGCAAGAUUUGUAGGAAUCAUGGAAAUGGCUUUGCUUAAUGAAGGAUCGUAUGUAUUGAAGGGGAAAUUCCUUUCAGAUCUUCACAGACUUCAGGUUAAAGAAUCGUAUCUCUGUGGGAGCUCCUAGCCUUGAUGAGUGCCUCAGUGCACCUUGUGUGGGAAAUGGCACCUGCAGAUCCUCACCAGCUUCAUAGAGAUGGUGUUCAUGUGCAGUGGGGUUCUUUAAUGGUUGCUUAUUUGUUACUUACCUGGAGGCCCAGAGAAUUUGGCAUUUUGGCAGAAUAUAGGGCUGCAUCGGCUUCACUGAUAAAGGAUCCCUUGCAGACACAAAGAAGAGAGGAACAAUUCCAGGCCACUUUACAAGUCACUGGGAACAAAACAGAGCUGCCUCUGCACCUUGAACUAGUGUUUUUUGUGGGGAGAAGGGAGAGACAUAUUCUUCUUUCUCUAUAA